GACGAACGCUGGCGGCGUGCUUAACACAUGCAAGUCGAACGGAAAGGCCCUGCUUUUGUGGGGUGCUCGAGUUGCGAACGGGUGAGUAACACUUGAGUACCCUGCCCUUGACUUUGGGAUAACUUCAGGAAACUGGGGCUAAUACCGGAUAGGAGCUCCUGCUGCUUGGUGGGGGUUGGAAAGUUUCGGCGGUUGGGGAUGGACUCGCGGCUUAUCAGCUUGUUGGGGUGGUAGUGGCUUACCAAGGCUUUGACGGGUAGCCGGCCUGGGAGGGUGACCGGCCACAUUGGGACUGAGAUACGGCCCAGACUGGUACGGGAGGCAGCAGUGGAGAAUAUAACACAAUAGGCGGGAGCAUGAUGUAGCCAAGCCGCGUGCGGGAUGACGGCAUUCGGGUUGUAUACCGCUUUCGCCUGUGACGAAGCGUGAGUGACGGUAAUGGGUAAAGAAGCACCGGCUAACUACGUG
rnacentral:rRNA from 1 species